CUACGCACUCCUACGGAGGCAGCAGUGGGGAAUAUUGCACAAUGGGCGCAAGCCUGAUGCAGCCAUGCCGCGUGUAUGAAGAAGGCCUUCGGGUUGUAAAGUACUUUCAGCAGUGAGGAAGGUGGGUAUGUUAAUAGCAUACUCAUUUGACGUUAGCUGCAGAAGAAGCACCGGCUAACUCCGUGCCAGCAGCCGCGGUAAUACGGAGGGUGCGAGCGUUAAUCGGAAUUACUGGGCGUAAAGCGCAUGCAGGUGGUUUGUUAAGUCAGAUGUGAAAGCCCGGGGCUCAACCUCGGAAUUGCAUUUGAAACUGGCAAACUAGAGUACUGUAGAGGGGGUAGAAUUUCAGGUGUAGCGGUGAAAUGCGUAGAGAUCUGAAGGAAUACCGGUGGCGAAGGCGGCCCCCUGGACAGAUACUGACACUCAGAUGCGAAAGCGUGGGGAGCAAACAGGAUUAGAUACCCUGGUAG
rnacentral:rRNA from 1 species